GGGGACGUAGCUCAGUUGGGAGAGCGUCGCGUUCGCAAUGCGAAGGUCGUGGGUUCGAAUCCCAUCGUCUCCA
rnacentral:tRNA from 1 species